GAUGAACGCUGGCGGCGUGCUUAACACAUGCAAGUCGAACGAACGACUAUUAACAGAACCUUUCGGGGCGAAGAAUAUAGAAGUUAGUGGCGGACGGGUGCGUAACGCGUGGGUAAUCUGCCUUUGUCAAAGGAAUAACUAUUCGAAAGAAUAGCUAAAACCGUAUAACAUAUUAAUAGGGCAUCCUAAUAAUAUCAAAACUGAGGUGGACAAAGAUGAGCCCGCGUCUGAUUAGCUAGUUGGUGAGAUAAAAGCCCACCAAGGCAACGAUCAGUAGCCGACCUGAGAGGGUGAACGGCCACAUUGGAACUGAGACACGGUCCAAACUCCUACGGGAGGCAGCAGUGGGGAAUAUUGCACAAUGGGGGGAACCCUGAUGCAGCAACGCCGCGUGAGUGAAGAAGGCAUUCGUGUCGUAAAACUCUGUAGUAGGGGAAGAAAGAAAUGACAGUACCCUAAAAGAAAGCCCCGGCUAACUACGUGCCGGCAGCCGCGGUAAUACGUAGGGGGCAAGCGUUAUCCGGAAUAACUGGGCGUAAAGGGUGCGCAGGUGGUUUAACAAGUAAGUGGUGAAAGGCAUAGGCUCAACCAAUGUAAGCCAUUAAAACUGUUUAACUUGAGUGCAGGAGAGGAAAGUGGAAUUCCUAGUGUAGCGGUGAAAUGCGUAGAUAUUAGGAGGAAUACCAGUGGCGAAGGCGACUUUCUGGACUGCAACUGACACUGAGGCACGAAAGCGUGGGGAGCAAACGGGAUUAGAUACCCUGGUAGUCCACGCCGUAAACGAUGAGUACUAGGUGUCGGGUGAAGAACUCGGUGCCGAAGUUAACACAUUAAGUACUCCGCCUGGGGAGUACGCUCGCAAGAGUAAAACUCAAAGGAAUUGACGGGGACCCGCACAAGCAGCGGAGCAUGUGGUUUAAUUCGUAGCAACGCGAAGAACCUUACCUAAGCUUGACAUACCAAUGACAGCCUUUUAAUCGA
rnacentral:rRNA from 1 species